rnacentral:rRNA from 1 species
AAUGGAAAGCCCGGUACAAGCGAGGUACCAGUAUGGUAGGAAAAACCGCCAUGCAAUGGGAAGACGUGAUGUGGAGUGAAAUAUAGUAACGAAGCCCGUGAGCCAUGCGUCAAGAAAAGCCGCUAUUGUUUAUAUUGUACCCGUACCGUAAACCGACACAGGUGGAUGAGGAGAGAAUCCUAAGGCCGGCGGAAGAAGUAUUGCCAAGGAACUCGGCAAAAUGGCCCCGUAACUUAGGGAGAAGGGGUGCCUGCGAGAGCAGGCCGCAGAGAAUAGGCUCAAGCAACUGUUUAGCAAAAACACAGGUCUAUGCGAAACCGAAAGGUGAGGUAUAUGGGCUGACGCCUGCCCGGUGCUGGAAGGUUAAGAGGAGAGGUUAGACGCAAGUCGAAGCUUUGAAUUUAAGCCCCAGUAAACGGCGGCCGUAACUAUAACGGUCCUAAGGUAGCGAAAUUCCUUGUCGGGUAAGUUCCGACCCGCACGAAAGGCGUAAUGAUUUGAGCGCUGUCUCGGCAAUACAUCCGGUGAAAUUGAAGUGCCAGUGAAGAUGCUGGCUACCCGCGCCAGGACGGAAAGACCCCAUGGAGCUUUACUCCAGUUUGGCACUGGGGUCCGGUGUUGCAUGUACAGGAUAGGUGGGAGGCUGAGAGAUAGUGACGUCAGUUGUUAUGGAGCCGCUGUUGGGAUACCACCCUUGUGAUAUUGGGCUUCUAACCAGCCGCCGUGAACCGGCGGUGGGACAAUGCCAGGCGGGGAGUUUGACUGGGGCGGUCGCCUCCGAAAGGGUAUCGGAGGCGCCCAAAGGUUCCCUCAGAAUGGACGGAAACCAUUCGAAGAGUGCAAAGGCAGAAGGGAGCUUGACUGCGACACCGACGGGUGGAGCAGGUACGAAAGUAGGGCUUAGUGAUCCGGUGGUAUUAAGUGGGAAUGCCAUCGCUCAACGGAUAAAAGCUACCCUGGGGAUAACAUGCUUAUCACUCCCAAGAGUUCACAUCGACGGAGUGGUUUGGCACCUCGAUGUCGGCUCAUCGCAUCCUGGGGCUGUAGUAGGUCCCAAGGGUUGGGCUGUUCGCCCAUUAAAGCGGUACGCGAGCUGGGUUCAGAACGUCGUGAGACAGUUCGGUCCCUAUCCGGCGUGGGCGUAGGAUAUCUGAGAGGAGCUGUCCUUAGUACGAGAGGACCGGGAUGGACGGACCGCUGGUGGACCGGUUGGCUUGCCAAAGCCAUGGCCGGGUAGCCAAGUCCGGAAGGGAUAAACGCUGAAGGCAUCUAAGCGUGAAGCCCCCCUCAAGAUGAGAUAUCCCAUUCUUUAAGAAGUAAACCCCCUUGAAGACGACGAGGUAGAUAGGGCAGAGGUGGAAGUGUGGUAACACAUGGAGCUGACUGUUACUAAUCGGGUGAGGGCUUGACCG